rnacentral:tRNA from 1 species
GGUGGCUCAGUGGUAGAGUGCUUGCCUUGCAUGCAUGAGGCCUGGGUUUCGAUUCCUCAGGACCA